GUUCAUAAGAUACUGGCAACAAAAAAGAAACAAGAGGCAAAAAGGCAAAAACUCCAGAAGGAAAAUGCCAAGAGAACAAAUGGAGAGGGGAAAGAGGAAGGGGGUGUUAGUUAUUCUUUCUUUUUAAAUUUCAAUUUACUGUGACAUUCAAGUACAACAUGGCAUGACUUGAGUGAAACCCUUCUGGUACUUUGUCGUCUCCUGUUCAGGGACCAAAGAAGGACAUUGCAGUCAUUGACGUGGAUCCUGAGCCCUUUCCUUCUAUCCCAAGAGCCAUCAUCCUGGACCUCAGCCCCGUUAACUUCCUGGACACGGUCGGAGUCAAAGCACUACAAAAUGUAUGGAGGUCAAAAAUAAACAAAAAAACAAACAAACAAAGGGAUGAGCAAAAGACAGGCUCUAUGAUAGGGAUAGGAUGGAGAACAAGAAGAAGAAAAAUAAGAAAAAAAAUAAAAAAAAAAAUGUCCAAAUUUGUCCGAAACAAUAUGCAAAAAGUAAAAGAAAAAAACCCAGCUGUUUCAAAGUUAUUAGGAAUAAAUUCAUAAAAUGUACAGAACAUACAGAAGGACACUGUAAGAGUGUGUAAAUGUGAUAGUAUUGGUUUGAUUGAAAGUAAUACUGUUGGUAUGAGCUACAAUAACAUCAGCAAUGUUGAGUGUACAUGUGUUUUUAAACUUUAAAAAUAUUUUUGUAUAAUGAGAGACUAGAUGAGUAACAGUCAGAACAUGUUGGGUUUAUUAUAUUUUUAAUAAUUAUCCACAGUGAACCACCUGUGUUUUCUAGCUUUUGUGUUGCUUUUUGUGUGCUGUUUCAGAUCUACAGAGACUACGGAAAAAUAGGUAUAGAAGUUCUUCUGGCUGGAUGUCAAACUGGUGUAAUGGACCAGUUGAAGAUAGGAGGGUAUUUUUCUGAUAAAGUGACAAAGUCCUGUGUGUUCUCCACCAUCCACGACGCUGUUCUGUACUGUCAGCCUGUCAGGAGAACAGCUGAGGAGUUCAUAACCACUAAGCUUUGACUCUUGUCUUGUUGGAGCAGAGACCCUGGUUUACCCUGACGUUUGAAUCACUGCUCAUUUUCUUUCCAAGUUCAAUUGUAGACAUUUCACAUAUCAUCCUAGAAACUCCUUCAGUUCGGAGGGGCAGUGGUAAACCUACAGAUUUCCAGCUUGGUCACAUGAUCUGUGCACACGUUACUCCAACAAUGAUCGAAAACCUUCGUGGAGAGUCCGAUCAGCUGUGGAUCAUGAACGAGUCAGUCGUUGGAGUCGCCUUCAUUUUUACCAUUAUCGCGCUACUUUAUUUUAUUGAGAAAAAAUCACAACACAAUUAAACAGUGCUGAGAACAGGGACCAGAUGGCUCCGCAGUUUUGUUUUUUUCUUUUUUAUCCCGAGUCACAAAGUACCAAACAUGUCCUAAACUGUACAGGACCAGAACUGUGGACCGACCUAUUCAAGGUGAAGCUCCUCAGAGAGACAGCAUGAAAACAAAAUGAUGCAAGAAAGCAAAGUUUGAUGGUUUAAUGAGUCAGUUAACCUUUUCAGUAUUAACUAGGUUUACUGUAUGAGCAUGUUAAAUUUAAAGUGAUCAUAACACACAGUUAUGAGACAUCCUCCCAGAAUUCCUGUUGUAGGUGUUGUAUAUUACCAAUUGUUUAACAAAGGCUCCAGUCGGCCACACAUAUUUAUAUGCAAUUUCCAAUGUAGUCAUAUCGGUGUUGUGCUAUUUAUUUUGUGUCAAUAUUAAGCGUGUAGUUCUCCUUCUCUCCCUCUGGGUGGUACCAAGUACUUUUGGCUGGAGUGUGAUGGUUCAUUACUUCUUUUAUUUAUAUAUAGAUCUAUAAAACGAAUUCUUCCACUCAGUCAAAAC